AUGCUCUGAUUUCUCUUCAGAUCGCAUAAAUCUUUUGCCUUUUACUAAAGAUUUCCGUGAAGAGAAAUAAUCUAGAGUGUAUAACCAAUUUUUAGAAGCCUUGCCAACGCGAGGCU
rnacentral:snRNA from 1 species